UAUUAUAAAUUGUGAAAUAGGUUUGAGAGCAUGAAUUGUAAGUUCCCCUUUUGAAUAUGAACUUAUUUAACUCUUUUACUAUGAACUGAGCACUACCUGUUGUAAAUGUGAAUAUUGGUAAUUUUGAUCCAUAACACAAAUGGUUUCGUUAAUUGGUUGUUUGCUAUUAAUUUUCAAGCGAUAGUAUUAUGAUAGGUUGAAAUGGGUAGGCAAAUGAUAGGUUGGUUAGACAAAUUUAAGAACUGUGGAUUAUUGAAUUCUUGAAUGUUUUGUUAAAUGAUUUUUGUUUCAACACAUUUAAAAUCAAUUGUACUCAUUUGAUCCGGGAAUGCACCAAGGUUAUCUGAAUUGAUUUAUUUGGGAAAUGCCCCGAGAGAGUUGUAGUUGAAGACGGUCGUCAGAAGCUGCUAAAAAAGAAUUGGAUUCUGUUUAGGGUUGACGACAUUCGUGAUAGGCUAUCACAAUUGUGACGGCUUGUCAAGAAUGUCAUCAAAAGUUGUUCACUUCUCAAAACCAAGCACAUUUUCAAGGACAUGUGCUGCCUCGAGGAUAUUAUUCUUCAAUUCAACAAAAUGCUCGCUAAAUUUAUUAGCAAUAUACGCCUUUGUUGUGACGUAAAAUAGAUAAAGAUGUUCUCCACAGUGCUGAUUUACACCCAGAUUUUCAGUGAGGUACCUCAUGCAAAGUCCAUGGUGUGCAUGACUGUAAACACUAGAGAAGGCAAUGGCAAUGCUGAUGUACCUGUCGGAGAUGACACAUAGAUUUGGUUCAUCUUCUACGAUAGACUUCAACUUCUGGAAGAAGAAGGUCCAAGAAGCAUCAUUCUCUUUAUUGACGACACAAAAGGCAAUUGGAAAGAUGUGAUUUUCUGUGUCCUGUGCAACUGCACUCAGCAACACGCCCCUGUACUUUUCAUGAAGAACACAACAAAGACAAGUCUAGAAAGGACCAAGGAACACCAGAGGAUACAAUGUUAAGUUCCAAUAUUAUUGACCUCACCAUUAAGGUGACACAAAACAAGAGACCUGAAGAAAAGAAUGAAGGCAAAAAGCAAAGGGAGCAAGAGGACUCUUUCGAGGAGGACAUGUCUCAAAACCACCACCCACAACAACAACAAAACGAGCACGAAAAAAAUGAUGUGGCUGAGCUCAACAAAGUAGCAUGUGAAGAUAUAUUUUCAAAUAAUUUUGAUCGUAUUUUAUAUGAUAGUUAUGCAAAUCAUGGCUCGAAACUGUGGAUAGGAAAUAAAAAAGAUGGACAUUAUCAAAUCAGGC